CUGGCGGCGUGCCUAACACAUGCAAGUCGAACGAGAAAGUGGAGCAAUCCAUGAGUAAAGUGGCGACCGGGUGAGUAACACGUGACUAACCUACCCUCGAGUGGGGAAUAACUCCGGGAAACCGGGGCUAAUACCGCAUAACAUCGCAAGAUCAAAGCAGCAAUGCGCUUGAGGAGGGGGUCGCGGCUGAUUAGCUAGUUGGCGGGGUAACGGCCCACCAAGGCGAAGAUCGGUAUCCGGCCUGAGAGGGCGCACGGACACACUGGAACUGAAACACGGUCCAGACUCCUACGGGAGGCAGCAGUGGGGAAUUUUGCGCAAUGGGGGAAACCCUGACGCAGCAACGCCGCGUGGAGGAUGAAGCCCUUUGGGGCGUAAACUCCUUUCGACUCGGACGAUAAUGACGGUACGAGUGGAAGAAGCACCGGCUAACU
rnacentral:rRNA from 1 species